rnacentral:rRNA from 1 species
CCCUUAGAUGUUCUGGGCUGCGCGCGCGCUACACUGACACACGCAACGAGUCUCCUGCCCUGACAGGGUCGGGUAAUCAUUUGAGUGUGUGUCGUGAUGGGGAUAGAGUAUUGCAAUUAUUGCUCUUGAACGAGGAAUUCCUAGUAAGCACAAGUCAGCAGCUUGUGCUGAUUACGUCCCUGCCCUUUGUACACACCGCCCGUCGCUCCUACCGAGGGGGUGAUCCGGUGAAUGAUUCGGACUCUGGUGCUUCUAGCUGCUAGAUGCGCCGGAGGAAGUUUUGUGAACCUUAUCACUUGGAGGAAGGAGAAGUCGUAACA